UACAGAGGGUGCAAGCGUUGUUCGGAAUUACUGGGCGUAAAGCGCGUGUAGGCGGUUUGGUAAGUUCUGUGUGAAAGCCCUGGGCUCAACCCAGGAAGUGCGCAGAAUACUGCCUGACUGGAGUGACGGAGAGGAUGGCGGGAAUUCCCGGUGUAGAGGUGAAAUUCGUAGAUAUCGGGAGGAACACCUGUGGCGAAGGCGGCCAUCUGGACGUCAACUGACGCUGAGACGCGAAAGCAUGGGGAGCCAAACAGG
rnacentral:rRNA from 1 species